rnacentral:ncRNA from 1 species
UCCCGUUGCAUGUGCGGGUUAUCGCAUGCACCUCCCUGUUGGACUUACCCCGGCUUUGCGCCGGGGUCUUUUU